UUAUACUGUAUAUUCUGUAUGUGUGACUGUGUGACUCUAUGCUGUCUUCCAGCUCCUGUGUCAGAGCCAGCUGUGUUUCAAACGUGUUUGUCACCAGAACAAAUGAUGGUCACCUGCUCUUCAGAGGGAGAUGUCAAAGAGUUCAGUUUGAGUUUAGACGGUUACUCACUGAUGCAGACCAGAGCCCACAGUCAGUCUCUGAGUCGCAUGACAGAGGACACACCAUCACUGGCUUCAAACGCAACUGAACAAGACACACCCAGAGUUUCAAAUAUAAGCAUCAGUUUAUAUGGUCAACUGACAGGAAACUUGAUGUGCAAUGUUCAAAACAAUGUCAAGGAAUGAUCAAAUUCCUCUUGUUGCUUUCUUUGGUUGAUAUCAAAUCCCCACAGCUAAUUCAUGAUUUUAUUUUCCAAAAAAGAAAAAAAUAUCACACUUUUCUCAGUUGGGUGGUACAGGUCAGCUUUUAGACAAGUAGUCUCAGAUUUAAAGAUUUUUAUAGUGAAUGUCAGGGCUUUCCCUUUUCUGUAAUGUACAGUCUAACACCUCAGUAAUAUCCUGUGGGUAGCAAGUACACAUCUGGGAUUUUGAUCUGGUUUGUCCUUGACAUUCUUUUUUUUAUAAAUUACACAACGGCAAAUAGAUCUCAGUGGAUGAAAUAAAAGAUUGAGCAAGGUAGCCCUUACAUUGACAUAUCUACAUUAGGGUAGAAGAACUUCCUGUUGUUUUAAAAUUAUUACUUCCCACAAAGUGUUUCUGUGUGCAUCAACAGUGUAACAGUCUGGCGUUUAAAAAAACACUGAACAUUAAUUACCAUUAGAUCCUGACAAUACUGUUGCUGUGUUUAAAGAGAUUUAAAGUGUUAAUGAUGAUUAAUGUUACUACUGCUGUACCAUAUACAUACAAAGAUGCACUAGAGAUGCACCGAUCGAAAUCAGUUGGUUUUCAGCUGAUCAGCCAUGACCAGUGACCAGCCCCAAUCAGUCUCAUUUAUCCCAUUUUUCCACACAUAGCCUCACUAUGUUUCAUGUCACGCACACAACAGCAGCUGUGGCACAGACAGUUUAGCCACACACAUGUCAAUGGCGUCAUACCUCUACCAAAGAGUAAACACGCACAAGCUGCCAACACUCACUUCCCUUCUGUGACUGUGGGUGUGAUAGCAAGCCUUGCCACUCCACUUCUCCUUUUGGCGCUGUUUUUUGGUAUCAAACAUCUGCAAAAGAAAACAAGACCCAUGAGUGUUACUGAGGGUAAUGCUGAAGAUGAAAUUGUCUACUCAGAUGUUGUAGUGAUGAAGAACAGGAGAAAAAACAGACCCAACUCAGAUCAACACGCAGCUUAAUUUUCUCCUGAAACAUUAUUCAUGACUUUGCUUUAGCCUUUUGCAAGGGACUUCAUAUCCAAACCUAAGAAAAUGUGGGAUCAUUGACUUUGUGUUUACAGUAGAAGAAAAAUUUAAAUAAAAAAAAUGAUUUCCCCGUCCAGACAUUGUAAUGCCAACAAUCAUGAAACAGCAUCCUAUUUGGUGACAUCCAUCAUUUUUACCAGGCUUUACCACUAGCCAGUAUGUAAACAUGCAGUAUAUCAAUAAAGUGUUAUCUGACCUAGAGUACUAUAGGGAGUCAUUGUUUUUCUUAACAUAUCUACAUAUUGCAGUUUGGUGAAAAACAGUACUUAAUUUCUACUUCAUUUUUAAGCUACCAUUUCAUUUUUAAUGCAUUCAUGCGGUUGCUUCUCAAAUAUAACAGUGCCUUUAUGAUUCUAUUUUUCAGUGACUUUGAAUGCUUUGUAACUGU